UACGUAGGUGACAAGCGUUGUCCGGAUUUACUGGGCGUAAAGAGCGCGCGGGCGGUCGUUCAAGUCGAGUGUGAAAGCCCCCGGCUCAACUGGGGAGGGUCAUUCGAUACUGAUCGACUGGAAGGCAGGAGAGGGAAGCGGAAUUCCCGGUGUAGUGGUGAAAUGCGUAGAUAUCGGGAGGAACACCAGUGGCGAAGGCGGCUUCCUGGCCUGUUCUUGACGCUGAGGCGCGAAAGCUAGGGGAGCAAACGGG
rnacentral:rRNA from 1 species